rnacentral:rRNA from 1 species
GAUGAACGCUGGCGGCGUGCCUAAUACAUGCAAGUCGAGCGAACAGACGAGGAGCUUGCUCCUCUGACGUUAGCGGCGGACGGGUGAGUAACGCGUGGAUAACCUACCUAUAAGACUGGGAUAACUUCGGGAAACCGGAGCUAAUACCGGAUAAUAUAUUGAACCGCAUGGUUCAAUAGUGAAAGACGGUUUUGCUGUCACUUAUAGAUGGAUCCGCGCCGCAUUAGCUAGUUGGUAAGGUAACGGCUUACCAAGGCAACGAUGCGUAGCCGACCUGAGAGGGUGAUCGCCCACACUGGAACUGAGCCACGGUCCAGACUCCUACGGGACGCAGCAGUAGGGAAUCUUACGCAAUGGGCGAAAGCCUGACGGAGCAACGCCGCGUGAGUGAUGAAGGUCUUCGGAUCGUAAAACUCUGUUAUUAGGGAAGAACAAAUGUGUAAGUAACCAUGCACGUCUUGACGGUACCUAAUCAGAAAGCAACGGCUAACUACGUG